UUGGCUGUGUGGGACGCGGUAUUAGCUCGGAAGGCAGGACCGCCGCUCUAGCAACACUCGGAGCGGCAUUUUCUGUUCCUCUCCACCGCUGGCUGCGCCCUUGGACCCACUUUCUUUUCCGGCAACAGGAGGCACGGGCAUGACUGAACGAAUCGUUGGAACCGUCAAGUGGUUCAAUGCCACCAAGGGCUAUGGCUUCAUUGCCCGCGAGGGUGGCGAGGAUGUCUUCGUCCACUUCUCAGCCAUUCAAAUGGAUGGCUACAAGAAGUUGGAGGAAGGCCAGCAGGUGGAGUUCUCGAUCGAGAACGGCCCCAAGGGAUUGCAGGCAGCGAACGUCAUUCCCGUCCGCUAGGCAACCGAAGGCAUUCCCAGAACCAAAAACGGCCCGUCCAGUGGACGGGCCGUUCAG
rnacentral:other from 1 species